rnacentral:rRNA from 1 species
UAGAUCUCAAAUCAGGUAGGACUACCCGCUGAACUUAAGC